rnacentral:rRNA from 1 species
UACGAAGGGGGCUAGCGUUGCUCGGAAUCACUGGGCGUAAAGCGCACGUAGGCGGAUCUUUAAGUCAGGGGUGAAAUCCCAAGGCUCAACCUUGGAACUGCCUUUGAUACUGGGGAUCUCGAGUCCGGAAGAGGUUGGUGGAACUGCGAGUGUAGAGGUGAAAUUCGUAGAUAUUCGCAAGAACACCAGUGGCGAAGGCGGCCAACUGGUCCGGUACUGACGCUGAGGUGCGAAAGCGUGGGGAGCAAAC